rnacentral:lncRNA from 1 species
UUUGGUGCAUAUUUAAAUAAGUGGAGAGGAUAUUGGAAAGGCUCUCCAAUAAAAGAGUUUAAUCUUAGAUGGUAGGGACAAAUUCCAAAAAAACUUCCACCACCCUAUAUUAGGACUAGAACUUGAAGGCAAGUCCUUGAGUUUCAACCGAAGAGCCACGUAGUAACCACUCUUCACUUGAUAUUGGUCACGCUUAUCGUAUGACCAAACCAAUUG